GAUGAACGCUGGCGGCGUGCCUAAUACAUGCAAGUCGAGCGAACAGAUGAGGAGCUUGCUCCUCUGACGUUAGCGGCGGACGGGUGAGUAACACGUGGAUAACCUACCUAUAAGACUGGGAUAACUUCGGGAAACCGGAGCUAAUACCGGAUAAUAUAUUGAACCGCAUGGUUCAAUAGUGAAAGACGGUUUUGCUGUCACUUAUAGAUGGAUCCGCGCCGCAUUAGCUAGUUGGUAAGGUAACGGCUUACCAAGGCAACGAUGCGUAGCCGACCUGAGAGGGUGAUCGGCCACACUGGAACUGAGACAUGGUCCAGACUCCUACGGGAGGCAGCAGUAGGGAAUCUUCCGCAAUGGGCGAAAGCUUGACGGAGCAACGCCGCGUGAGUGAUGAAGGUCUUCGGAUCGUAAAACUCUGUUAUUAGGGAAGAACAAAUGUGUAAGUAACUAUGCACGUCUUGACGGUACCUAAUCAGAAAGCCACGGCUAACUACGUG
rnacentral:rRNA from 1 species